UCUUAAUAUGCUAAAAAGUGUUCUGCCGUUCACAGUCACUUGAUGCACAGAUUGGAUGUGUCAUAAAAUAGCUAAAUCCCAGCUGGGUGGUCCCAGCAUGGAGCAUUUACGCAGUUCUUCAGAAACAGAUGCAGCUCUUAGCAGAGACUACAAUGAAGGAGACUACAGGGUAGCAAGCAAGGCACAACAGUCUCCUUUCUGCCUCACCCAGUCUUUCCUCAGUGCUUCCUGGCAGCUCUUCUUGCUUUGUGACUCGAGUAUGAAGAGCACCUCCUUACUCCAGGCUGAGGACCAUGGAGUCUUACAAACUGCCUGUUCACCAACUGUUAUGAAGAGGGACAUUUGA
rnacentral:lncRNA from 1 species